GGUGGAAGUCCGCAGCCCGGGAGCGCCGCUUCUCCCUAGCGCCUUGUAGCAGUGGGUUAAAAAAAAAACAGAACAGUACGGACCCUCCAGCGAGACUGGCGUUUACACUUCGGCCACUCCUUUAGCCUCCAUUUGGGGAUUUGGUCCAGGGACAGACGCUGAGAAGAAAUAACAGCGUGGAAGCCAAGUCCUCCAUUUACUAUUGGCUGUCUAACAUCACACUUCCCACCACCUACGGUCUGUGCCUGACCCUGUGUGCUUACACUGACAUCUUGCACGGUGAUGGGAGCCCAAUACAUCUCCAACAAUUCAGCCUGUGAAAGAGGAGCCCUGAUUGGCCGUCGGUGGUGGCAGCGCAUUUAAUCCCUGCACUCCAGAGGCAGAGGCAGGCGGAUCUCUGAGUUUGAGGCCAACUUGGUCUAUAGAAUUGAGUUCCAAGACAGCCAGGGAUACACAGAGAAACCCUGUCUCAAAAUGAAUAAAUAAAAUAAAAAAGAAAAGUACAUGUAUUGUAGAUUUGACUUCCAAUCUGAAGCCUAUUGGGAGUCUAGUGUAAAUUGAAUCAUAGUAUGGGACCUCUUACUGGCUUUUGAUUCCGGGUUGCCUGUGAGGUGAGCAGCUUUAUCCUAGCAAGAGAACAGAGCCAGCCGGCCACAGACUUACAAAGCUAGGCAACACUUCAUCUCCUUUAAGUUGCUUACUAAUACAAAUGGACUGGGGAGAUGGCUUAGCAGUCCAUUGCUAUACAGUUCUGGCAUCUACAUUGAAAAACCUCACAAAUGCCUGUAACUCCAGUGCCAAGGGAUCCAAUGCCUUGUUCUGGCCUCUGUGGAUGUACACACACACAUACAUACACACAUGUAUACAUAAAACACACACACAAAUAAAUAUGAAUUAAAUCUUAAAACUUUUUUGCACUUGGAGUGACUAAUAUGAUACUGAUUAUAACAGUGAAAAGUCAAGAACAACCUAAGUGUGCACCAACAGAGAAGGACCAACAUUCACAUAGUGCUAUAUGUACAGGAACUAAGAAAUUGGCUUUGUUUUUCCAAAGGAUAAAUGAGAAUUCAGAACCAAUGUGGAAUUGAAAAAAAAAAAACCAAUUUGCAGAACUAUACAUUAUGAUACCAUAUUCACAAAUAAACAGAGCCUUUGGAACCCAUACUAUCAUAUUUUGUGUGAAUAUAAACUCUUACACACCAAAUUCAUGGCAGCUGUGGCCUAUAUAGAAGGAGCAGAAAUUGGACUGAGAGAAAAAUCUUCAACCUAAUCUAUAGCGCUUGAUUGCUUUAAUUAAAAGGAUGAGAGUGGUGGCUGGAGAGAUGGCUCAGUGGUUAAGAGCAUCGGCUGUUCUUCCAUAGUUUGACCAGGGUUCCAUUCCCAGCAACCACAUGGCAGCUCACAGCUGUCUGUGAUCUAGCACCCUUGCUCAAACUAUACACGCAGGCAAAAAUGUCAAUGCAUGUGAAAAUAAAUUUAUCUUUUAUAUGUGUGUUUUUUAGGUUUAUGUA